rnacentral:lncRNA from 10 species
UUUCAUUUUUUCUGCAUCUACUAAGAUGAUCUUAGUUUCCUUUUGUUGAGGUCAGUGCCAGGAGAUAAUCCUCAAAAGGUCUGACAUUUUUGCAUGUCUUGUGAGCAGAUGAACUAACAGCUUUUGUUCUAGACUAGGUUUUCCAGAAUGUUUGUAUAGGGAAUGGUCUUGGAAAAUGGUGAUGAUGUCUUCCUUUAGAGCAAAGGUCAGUUAUGUUGGCUGUCCAGUAUAGUAAAGAUAGUGUCUAUCUCCCAGGCAAAGGUUGAACAGGUCUAUUUUUAGCCCAUUUUAAAGAUUGGGGUUUCCUAAGAUUGUGGGGGUUUCCUCAGCUGUGAUGUAAACUCACUGCACAUGCAACAUCCAUCUGGGCCCACCCUGUGUUGUUUCCGUGGGACCUGGGGGUAAGAAAAACUGAUGAGAACAUAAAGUUCAAAUUGCUUGCUGUCUGUGAGUAAUGAGGUCCCUUGUCUCUGACUAGGAGUCUUGUAUCUUUUGCCAGCAUCCAUGAAACUGUGGGCUAACUUGUUAGCCUGCAAAAAGGGUAAAAUCUAUGAACUUUCAUGGUUCUUGAUAAGUUAAUAUGGCAAUUUCUAAAUGUUAAAACUAACCUUGCAUUCCUAGAAUAAAUCUCAUAUCGUCAUGAUCCUUUUAUAUAUUGCUGAAUUUAAUUGCUACAUUUAUGUUCACGAGGAAUGUUGAUCUGUAAUUUUAUUUUUUGGAAUAUCCUUGUCAGAUUUUGGUAUUAAGGUUAUACUGGCAUCAUAAAACAAGCUGGCAAGUAUUCCCUCCUCUCCCUUGAGAGAGUUUGUGUAUGAUUGGCAUAUUUCUCCCUUAAGUGCUUUGUAGAAUUUAGAAGUAAAGCCAUCUGUACCCAAAGUUUUCUUUGUGGAAAGUUUAAGAAAGUAGAUUUCUGUUUUGGUGGAAUAACAUCAAUUUACCGUUCAAAUAGCUCAGAAAACCUCAAGCAGAAAAAGUGCAAUGAGAACUACACUGAAGCUGAUCAUGUCAAACUGCUGAAACUCAAAUAUAAAUAAAAAAUCUUGAAUGCAGCUGGAGGAAAAAAAAGACACAACCUACAGGGGAAAAAUGACAUAAAUGAAGGCUGAUUUUUUAUAAGAAACGAUGGAAGCCAGAAGACCAUGGAAUGACAUCUUUAAAGUGCUUCAAGGAAAAAAAAAAUUGUCAAGCAUGGAAAAGACCAAACAGUUAUGUGUAAGCACCUAAUUCUGUUUUAUAUCCUUUUCUGCUUAAAAUAGCUACAAUGGCUUCAUUUUCUACAACUAAAUCCAGACUCAUACAAUGACUGACAAACAAUGCUCAACCUCACUAGUGAUAAAGUCAGUGUAAUGAAGACGACAAAAACAAAACAUUGCAUAGCUAUCAGACUGACAAAAACACUAGCAAGGAUAUGGGGAAAUGGAAACUGCAGUUUUUUUGAUGAUGGGAACUAAAAUUUGUACAAUUACUUUAAAGAACAAUUUGGUGUUAAAUUGUUGAAUAUCUUUGUCAGAUUUUGGUUUU